GCCUUAUGUGGUACGGCUGCACAACUUCCACCAGCUCUCUGCACCCCAGCCCUGUUUCACCUUCAGCCAUCCCAACAGAGAUCCUAUGAUUGACAACAACCGCUAUUGCACCUUGGAGUUUCCUGUGGAGGUGAACACAGUACUACAUGGCUUUGCCGGCUACUUUGAGACUGUGCUUUAUCAGGACAUCACUCUGAGUAUCCGUCCAGAGACUCACUCUCCUGGGAUGUUCUCAUGGUUUCCCAUCCUCUUCCCUAUUAAGCAGCCCAUAACGGUGCGUGAAGGCCAAACCAUCUGUGUGCGUUUCUGGAGAUGCAGCAAUUCCAAGAAGGUGUGGUAUGAGUGGGCUGUGACAGCACCAGUCUGUUCCGCUAUUCAUAACCCCACAGGCCGCUCAUAUACCAUUGGCCUCUAGCCCUGCGUGCAAGUGUCCAGAGCCUUGGAAGCAGCUUCAGGUUCUGCUCCUGUAGUACAGAAGGGCUCAAGCCACCAAUCUAUGAAGACCUCAGGCCAGGGGUUGAGGAAUUAGUGCUGGAUUUGAAGCUACGCACUCAGCCUCAAGAACUCCCUGGAAUAUCUCUGAGAACAUGGGGUUUGAAUGGAUUUUCAGCCCUUCUCUGUUCUUGUUUUGAUGGUUUUGUGUAAGAGGAAAUACAAAUAAAGUUAUAGCCCUUUACUGCA
rnacentral:sRNA from 1 species